rnacentral:rRNA from 1 species
AGUGAGCGGCAAGAGCUCAGAUUUGAAAUCUGGCUUUGCGGCACGAGUUGUAGAUUGCAGGUUGGAGUCUGUGUGGAAGGCGGUGUCCACUUCCCUUGGAACAGGGCGCCCACGAGGGUGAGAGCCCCGUGGGAUGCCGGCGAUCCCAGUGAUGCCCUUCUGACUAUUCAAGAUGUUUGGUAAUGGGGCUCCCAGCUCGUGGUGAAUUCCAUCUUCCGUUAAAUACUGGCGAUAGACCGAUAGCCAACAAGUACUGUGAACGAAAGAGGAAAGAACUUUGAACUUUAGUGAAACAGCGCGUGAAAUUGGAAAUUGGGAAGGGUAUUGCGCCCGACAUGGGGAUUGCGCACUUGCUGCCUCUCGUGGGCGGGCUCUGGGCUUUCCCUGGGCCAAUAUCUCCUCUUGCUUGUGGCUCUGGGUUCUGGAGUUGGCUCUUCGGAGUGAAUUAGCCAGGGCCAGAUGCUGGAUGCGGACUUUUGUGACUGCGCUGGUGUAAUGCACGGAUGCUGGCCGUCUUGAACAACACCACCCCGUCUUGAAACACGGACCA